rnacentral:tRNA from 1 species
GAGGGUAUAGCUCAACUGGUAGGGCACAUGAUUAGCAUACACAAGGUCCUGGGUUCAAUCCCCGGUACCUCCU